UACCGAGAGGAGAGCUCGCGGGCGAGGGGAGGUGGGUAGGGCGGCGGGUGGCGGCGCCCGGACCGGCGGCGAGCGGGCCGCAAGCACCUACGCCACAGGCCGGCGCAGGACGGAACGCACCGCGAGUCCCUGAGGCGACAACUGGGCCGGGGCCUCAUACACCUGGCUUAGAGGCCGGCGUAGAAGGGGACGCACCGCAAUUUACGCCGCCACGCGCCACGCGGGGGGAACCAUUCGAGUCAGAACCGAGGUAGGAGGGCAAGGCCAGGAGACGGAGGAGGCGUAGGCCUCUGACGUCCGAGGAGGGGGCGGGGCAGGACCCGACACGACCGACGCGGGGCGGUAGGGGGGUAGUCUAGGUAAUAAUACCGAGGCUUACGCCCCUAAGAGAGACGCAGCCGCUAGAGGAGACGCGGCCGGCGACCGAGGCCUGUCCGCGCGCACGGACGAAGGGCGGUCCUCACGGGGAGAGGGCGACACCGACGACACUCGCGGUAAUUAGGGCUCCCCCUCCUACCCACCCUCUGCCGCACGAGAGCCGCACGAGCCGCGGACCGCUUCGCGGUCCCUCUAGGAGGCGCCGUCUCAGGUUUCCUAAGCGAGGCAGAGUCCCUCACACGAGCCCGACGGCGACACGUUCGUAAGUUCUACGCAAAACCGUUAACGACGAAGGCGACAGAGCGGAGAGCGGUUUUUCGAAAACUUACGGCGCUGGGGCGUUAAACGAUGUGAACGUCUUUCUGACCCGUAGAACUCGCGAGCACAGGUCAAGCAGAACGUUUUCGGUUUCGGUUUCGAGGUCGUGGACGAGCAGGGCGGAGGCGGCGUGGCGUUGCAUCAAGUAGAGGAGGUUGUGACGGGGAGUAAAGGUUGAGGAGACGUUGGCCAGUCAGACACAGUGGCGGGGAAGACGGCCUCGGGCGAUGCGUCGAAUGCAGCGAGCGACGACGAGCCUCCGGACACGCCACCCGGUACCUCAAGUAGGGGCCACGGAGCCUCGCCUCCGGCUGGUGCAGCUCGACAUGCCACUACUCGUGGGGCAGCUACCUCCUCCUCCGCAUAGUCGAUUCCUGGUACAGCGACGAGGAGUGACGGCGCCCACUGACGAGCCGGUAGUGCGGCCUGUACUAACGAGCACACCACCGCGUACUCGUAGCCAAGCUGGAGGCCCUGUAGAGGUAGCGCGGCACGAAGGGACUUCUGAUGUAGUAGUGGGACCGGCUGGUACAGGUCGCGCUGGACCAGAUACUUCCCGCACACUAGCUCCACCGCCCCCAGGCAAAACUCGAGGCCGGUACCAAGGGCGGCCGCCCGCCGUUGUUCCAUACCUCCAAGAUGACAUCUCAUCACUAACUAGCAAACAGCAACUUACGAACCCUAACCCUGUGGCAGGUCCUUCACCAACCCUUCUUGACGACCGAACUAAACUAACUCGCCGUCAGGUUCUGGUUCUCCUUGUCUAGACGAGAGAAACGAACCCAUACCUGUACCUUGGGCCUGUACUAUGGUUCCCGCAGACUAAAGUUGCACGACGUCGCCGUUCUACACUAGUCCAGGUCUCUGAGCUCCGGCCUUCCUCACGGCCACCUCCUCCCGAACCUCCCCGGCCUGAAGGGCCACGAGUAGGUGGAACUACACCAAUUCCUAAUGUGAGGGGACAGAGGAAGCCGCUCGGGUCUAUUACCUCACAUCUGUCGCGUAGUAGUCGACCACCCGGUUCUUUCUCACAAACAGAGGGGAAGGAACCUCCACAGGGUCCAGGUUCUGUCGUGGUGGAAACGGGGCCACUCUGUCCGGCUGGUCGUUUCGUGCCUACUCCUCGAGUUACUACGCGCGUCACAGCGGUGAAACGAUCUGGUCGUCGACUACGUUCUGUCGGUUCCUGGUAGGUACAACGGAGGAGUCCUAGACUGACGCGCUCGCGAACCCUUGAGGGUCGAACAUUGGCUACCAACCUAACCUCUGGAGUGCCCUACCCCUAGACCGAGACCACCCGAAUACGGAGACAAGAGUGGCGGGUCUGUCGUCGUCGACAUCAUGGGCUCGAAACUUGAUGGAGGCGACGGUGGUAGAGACUCGGCGACCCUUGACUGCCUGCGCUGGAGCGGUGCUGACACAUGUGGCGUCUACUGCUGAUAGACCCUCAGCCGACGGAAGAGCAAACCGGGGACGACCAAUGGUUUGACCCAACUCCGGGUCCGCCUGGACGGCCAAUCUCUCGGGUCGACCCGACAACCUGGCCUCCACUAAAAAUCCGGACCCCACCGACUUUACGCACGCGCCUCCCGCGAAUUCCUCCGGUUAGAGAGACCGGGACCAGAGUAGAGAUGCUAAUGUCUUCUCUUACGUUCUGACUUAUAACUACUCGUCGCCGCCAAGUAAUUGUUUUAUCGACGAGACGACAGGAGGAGGUAGGAACCGCGAGGAGGUCGGAACAGAAGAGGUGGUGGAGCGUUCGACUUCGUCGCCGACGAAGCUCAACAAAGUCGAAGAGCGGUCUCGAGCGCGGACGUUGUGGAACCGAGGUUGAAUAGAAGAAGUUCCGCACGAGUCCGACUCUAGUCGUGGGCCGAACCCAAGUAGUUCGCAGGGCUCCUGAAGUUGCUGCUGUGGCACGAACUCAUGUAAGUCAAGAAGGCACGGGACUACGGUGGCCGAUUGUAUCGGUUCGACCGGCUCUAGCGCCCGAACAGGAGCGGAAGAGUCGAAAGUGACGGACUACGACUCGACGUUCGGUAGAAACUACUCGAACGACCCGUAACCCUCGAAAACAAGGGCCGGCGGUUCGACGAUGGAGUUCGAAGGAGGUAAAGGCUAGUAACGGGCGAAGAGGAAGCGUUACUGCGCCACGAUUUUUGGUUAUCCUCCAAAUCCAAACUCAGGAUGACCGAUAAACAUUUACCCAAGUUCCUAGAUCACCGAGUCAGGACCCGACUCAGCCGACCCCCCUCUACGGGAUAGCGACGCGAGUUACAAUUUGAUACCGCUGAAUCGUUUCGAGAAGCCCGAACCUCGUUCAGUUAACAACCCCUAUAGGUCUUCGUCUACGUAUAACAAUUACUCUAAUUGAACGUCGAACUGUACCGAGUCCUAGUGUCCGUCGAUAGACGACUCCUCUCGUCAGAAGCUCGGCUCGAGUUCAGAGCGAGGGAGCCCGAACGUCACGACGAGUUUCACCUGGAACUCGGCGACCAGGAGUUCAAACCCUUGUCUUACCGACAAACCUCCCCGCCGUACUACCGAUUCUCACCCGCCGAGUGUGAGGAGUUUCGUUUAGAUCGGAGAGAACGGCAAAUGGAUUACUGCCACGUGUCGGAUGGGUUCACCCAGUAGUUCGCCGAUUAGGUUGAGACAGUGCGCACCAAUACCUUACCCCUCUUACAAACGUUGUUACCAGUAACAGCUCAACGUACCUUAAACGACACGGCGGGGUUUCAAAACCCUCCGAAUCCACACUACCUAAAGCGAUUCAAGCCGCACCGCGAGGCAGAGGCGACCUACACCAAUCGAACCGUUCUGGGUUGGUCCGGUACCCACACACCCGGGGACGGUACGUUAAGCUUCCUCCUUCUCGAAAAACGUUACCGUUGCCUUUAGAGUGAACCACUACCACGUGCCCGGUCUAAAACCGUCCUAUCUACCAACUUUCCCGUCACGGGGUUUCAAUAACGUGGUAGGGAAAAACGACGGAGGUGUUCCUUCUUAUCCUGCCCAACACUCCGAAACCGUUUACUCGCCACCGAGGACCUGGAACGUUGCCCAGAGUGCCGUCUGUACGAAGUACUCGAACGUCGCAACCGUCCGAACGACCUACUGCACCUCGAAGCCGUCCUAGUUGGCCUGUGGUAGGCUACCUCCAAGCGCAGACUGCCGUUUAUAUGACGGGUAAGUCGGAUGAACUAAGUCAAACUCCCUAGCUAGGGGGAAUUACCGGUAGUCGAUUAAACCAGACGUACCCGCGGCCCCUUUACGUCUAAGAAGUAUACCCGACAGAAAGAACCAUUUUAAGAGUGCCGAGUGCGAGAGGACGCAACCCCAACCCUCUUGACGAUGAAAACGGGAAACACACACGCGUUGGACCUUUGGGGGGAGGUGGAGGAGCACCUAACAGGCACCAGAUCUAGGUAGACCCUACCGUAACGCAGCUACCGGUUAAACGGCAGUGACUUGUGCCGGUGUACCUCGCGGUGGAGGCGGAAGUUCCUGACCUACAACCUCGCGUUGCGUGACUGCGGCGGCCGCUCUUCUUUCCCGAACUAGAGAGAGCAAGUAAACUGCCGCACCCUCUAAACCGCACUCUCUUUGGCUGCCGAUAAGGUCGUCCUCCGUUACUGAUUUCGACGUAAGUUCGCGUUCCAGUACCUACUUUAGUUCUACACCUUGUACCGACCACGACCGUAUGGAAAACUAGGUCCGACU
rnacentral:rRNA from 1 species